rnacentral:rRNA from 1 species
UACGUAGGGGGCAAGCGUUGUCCGGAAUCAUUGGGCGUAAAGCGCGCGUAGGCGGCCCGGUAAGUCCGCUGUGAAAGUCAAAGGCUCAACCUUUGAAUGUCAGCGGAUACUGCCGGGCUAGAGUCCGGAAGAGGCGAGUGGAAUUCCUGGUGUAGCGGUGAAAUGCGCAGAUAUCAGGAGGAACACCUAUUGCGAAGGCAGCUCGCUGGGACGUAACUGACGCUGAGACGCGAAAGCGUGGGGAGCAAACAGG